rnacentral:rRNA from 1 species
GUCCACGCCCUAAACGAUGUCAACUGGUUGUUGGGAAUUCACUUUCUCAGUAACGAAGCUAACGCGUGAAGUUGACCGCCUGGGGAGUACGGCCGCAAGGUUAAACUCAAAGGAAUUGACGGGACCCGCACAAGCGGUGGAGCAUGUUGUUUAAUUCGAAGCAACGCGAAGAACCUUACCCACUCUUGACAUACCUAGUAUGGAUUUCAGAGAUGAUUUCCUUCAGUUCGGCUGGCUAGGAUACAGGUGCUGCAUGGCUGUCGU